CCCGCCCGUCUUCCAACCGACAGCCGGGCACUUUCCCGCCCUUACGGUGCCGCAAAGCGGGAAACCUGAUUUUCUUCCCCAAGGGCUUCCCUCCCUUUUACGGUAUCUAGGGCGCAACUCUCGAGACUUGCCGUGAAGGAAAACAUCAUUCCGCGUGGUAGCUGUUGGGGAAAGAAUGAGUUUUUCCUUUGAAGCUGCUCUGUAUGAUUUUUGCGUUUUAGGUGACUGACUUCUGAAGCCGAUUUGAUAGCAGUUUGUCUUUACAGAACUAAGUUAGUUGUUCCCCCACCGGCCAUUGCACCUACUGUUGUUGAUUCAGUCAGUAAACAUUUAUGGGAUGCCUUUACAUAUGCCAGGCACUUACCUGUGCCAUGAGGAAUAAGUUGAAACCCAUUCUCGUUCCUGGAAGCAUUCACAGUUCAAUGGAGGAAACAAUUGACGUGCAACAGGAUGAGAUGCACAAUGGCUUUUUAACCAACUAAAUAUAUGUAAACUUAAAGAUAAAAACCCAAAGCUUUUAAAAUUUUACAAUGACUUUCUACAUAUGGAUCUCACUAUGGAAUAUCAGAGAUGCGUCAUAUUAAUUACCUGAUUGCUUGCACAAGAUAGGCCUAACUUUGGAAGCCCAUCUGCAAGAUUGCCUCCUGAAAUGAGGCACAACUAUUUAACUGAACUGACCUAUUCCCAACACUGAGGCUGAUUCUUUGAGCUAUGGAGUUAUCUAUCAGUUUGGCUUCUGGAUACUUCUUCAAAGUUUUAAAGGGAAGAUCAUCCCCAGCCCUGUGUGAUUAAGAAUGGCAAGAAUAAUCACCAUGGCACAAGCAGCUCAAAUACUCAGGGAGACAGAACACAUAACUGCCCACUGUAGGAAAGGGCUUUUUAGAAACUGCUGGAGGAAGUUGGAUUCAGUUGUCCAAGGACUGUGGCUCAUAACCCAACACGACUGGGGAAGUGAGGUGACUCAGUGGCCCCUGAAGGAUGCAGAUCCAGUCGGUGACCCAUGAAACUCAGCCUUCACAUAUGUCCAGUAUUUCAUGUGCUUUUUUAAUGUCCAAGCUAGCUGCAAGAUGAUUGCUAUAACAAUUAAUUUGUGCUAGAUAAAUUAAAGCCUUAUUAUUUGGAAAACCUUGAUAUUGGUUUAAAAAUUCACUAAUUUCACUGCCAGAAAUGAAAAC